CUCUGAGCUUCGGGGUAGUCCGCGAGGCGCUCAGCUUCUUUCUGAGUGUUCCGCCGGGUUCGACAGGGUCGAGGUCGCCGGCGCGAGGCUCCCGGAUAGCUGAGGGGCGCGAGGGCGCCUCCAGUCUCCCACCUGCCCUCCCGCGCCGCGGACUAGGCUGCCAGUCUACCCCACCGGGACGUCUGCCCCCGCAUGCAGGAGGGGGUGUGUCGGCCCAACGGGGUCUCAGGACCUGUCCCUGCUCCUCCAAAGCCCACGUCGCCUGCGGCGCCCCUCGGGUCUGCGCCGCGUUCUCCUUUAGCCUCCCGGGCCUCUCCGCUGCCCCUCGCCCCCAGGCACCAGCCACACCUGCUUCCUUCUGUUCCCGCCCGUGGCCUCUGACACGCCGUGCCCUGGACCCGAAAUGCCCGCCCCACUCCUGGAGCCUCCGGUGUGUGAGAGGCACCUUUCCUUGGGGUCAGGGGCCCGGACUCUGAAGCCGGCCUGGCUUUGCCUGUGGGCCCCGAUCCUCCCAGCUCGAGUCCCUCGCCCCAGCCGCCGCGGGCCUUCACCUGUGCUUUGGGGACGACAGGAUGGCCACCCUCCUUCCCCCAAAGAUUUGAGGGUUUUGCUCCACGCGGGAGAAGGUCUGCCUGUGCCACCAGCCGGCAGCCUUUCACAUGCUGUUGCGUUACGGGGCCCUCUGUGACCUUUCCCUAGGCCGAGGGGUGCUUCGUCUCUGUUCCUGAGAGACCAGAAUUUAUUCUUGGUUUGUCAAGCCACAUCUGUAGGAAUGUUGCCCAGUUGCAGCAGGCUGGGGUCUGGGACUUGCUCCUUUGGCGAAUUGAGAAGUAAGGAUAUAGAAGGCAUUUUAGCACUAAUGGAAACCAGAACCACUCUUAGACCUGGGCAAGAGGGGCCCCAGAAAUUAGCAAGCGAUUAGCAAGCAGCUGGAUUUCGAUGACCUCCACUGUACUUAGAGCAACGGCAUUCGAUUCGUUGGAUCAUUUCAAAGAUGACAUACUGGGUUGUUUGUUUGUUUCUGGCGGUGUCUAAAGAUGGAACAUCUUGAAGCAUUUUGAAUUUGACCUGUGGCUACCCUCAGAUACAAUGAUGGUAACCCCAUGAGUGCUGUUAAAGCAAUUUGACUUAUUGUAGACAGGUUAACACAUGAGAUGCGUUAAAAGAGUUAAGUGAAAUAAUAGGCAGCAUUCAAAGAGCAAAUCGUGGUCUUUGGCAGAAAAUAGAGUUAAUUUUGUAUUUGAGCUGUCCAGUUAUUACAAUUAGAAAACGUUUUAAAGAAUCCAAAAGGAUUUAAAAUAUUGCAUAAAGUUUUAGGAGAAAAUGGUUUCCAAAAAGCAACUGCAUAUGAAAUAAGCACUAAAAUGACAUUAAAGUACAAUGUAAGAAAAUCGGAACUAGAAGCAUUUGCUGGAGUCUGAAGAAAAAGAUUUAUGGAUGAAUGAUUCUGAAACUAACUUCUAUAGAGACAAUUUUCCGGCGAUGGUAGAUCAAGGUGUAGAUUGUACUGAAGAGAGAGAUUCAAACAAAACUCAGCAGUUGGGGGAACGCUUGCUUGUGACUCAUGAAACCAUCAUUCAUCAAACAACAAGAUUAAAGAACAUAAUGUUACAAAGAAGAGAGCUAAGCAACAUUGCUAAACAACAGGACAAUCUCUGGA
rnacentral:lncRNA from 1 species